AUUGAACGCUGGCGGCAGGCCUAACACAUGCAAGUCGAGCGGAUGAAGGGAGCUUGCUCCUGGAUUCAGCGGCGGACGGGUGAGUAAUGCCUAGGAAUCUGCCUGGUAGUGGGGGAUAACGUCCGGAAACGGGCGCUAAUACUGCAUACGUCCUGAGGGAGAAAGUGGGGGAUCUUCGGACCUCACGCUAUCAGAUGAGCCUAGGUCGGAUUAGCUAGUUGGUGGGGUAAAGGCCUACCAAGGCGACGAUCCGUAACUGGUCUGAGAGGAGGAUCAGUCACACUGGAGGGGAGACACGGUCCAUACGCCUACGGGAGGCAGCAGUGGGGAAUAUUGGACAAUGGGCGAAAGCCUGAUCCAGCCAUGCCGCGUGUGUGAAGAAGGUCUUCGGAUUGUAAAGCACUUUAAGUUGGGAGGAAGGGCAGUAAGUUAAUACCUUGCUGUUUUGACGUUACCAACAGAAUAAGCACCGGCUAACUUCGUG
rnacentral:rRNA from 1 species